UACGGGGGGGGCAAGCGUUGUUCGGAAUUACUGGGCGUAAAGGGCUCGUAGGCGGCCAACUAAGUCAGACGUGAAAUCCCUCGGCUUAACCGGGGAACUGCGUCUGAUACUGGAUGGCUGGAGGUUGGGAGAGGGAUGCGGAAUUCCAGGUGUAGCGGUGAAAUGCGCAGAUAUCGGGAAGAACACCCGUGGCGAAGGCGGCUCUCUGGGACGGUACUGACGCUAAGACGCGAAAGCGUGGGGAGCGAACAGG
rnacentral:rRNA from 1 species